GGACCGAUGGUAGUGUCUUCGGAUGCGAGAGUAGGUC
rnacentral:rRNA from 1 species